rnacentral:SRP_RNA from 2 species
GCCAGGCAUGGUGGUGCACACCUGUAGUCCCAGCUACUAGGGAGGCUGAGGUGGGAGGAUCACUUGAGCCUGGGAGUUUGAGGCUGCAGUGAGAUAUGAUCAUGUCACUGCACUCCUGCCCGGGCGACAGAGUGAGACUCUGUCUCAA